rnacentral:misc_RNA from 1 species
CUGAGUACUACACUCUCUACCCCUUGUGAACUAUUAUACCUGUUGCUUCGGCGGCGCCCGCAAGGGUGCCCGCCGGUCUCAUCAGAAUCUCUGUUUUCGAACCCGACGAUACUUCUGAGUGUUCUUAGCGAACUGUCA